rnacentral:rRNA from 1 species
ACGGAAGGCAGCAGUGGGGAAUAUUGCACAAUGGGGGAAACCCUGAUGCAGCGACGCCGCGUGAAGGAAGAAGUAUCUCGGUAUGUAAACUUCUAUCAGCAGGGAAGAAAAUGACGGUACCUGACUAAGAAGCCCCGGCUAACUACGUGCCAGCAGCCGCGGUAAUACGUAGGGGGCAAGCGUUAUCCGGAUUUACUGGGUGUAAAGGGAGCGUAGACGGAAUUGCAAGUCUGAUGUGAAAGGCAUGGGCUCAACCCGUGGACUGCAUUGGAAACUGUGAUUCUUGAGUGCCGGAGGGGUAAGCGGAAUUCCUGGUGUAGCGGUGAAAUGCGUAGAUAUCAGGAGGAACACCGGUGGCGAAGGCGGCUUACUGGACGGCAACUGACGUUGAGGCUCGAAGGCGUGGGGAGCAAACAGGAUUAGAUACCCUGGUA